AUUGAACGCUGGCGGCAUGCCUUACACAUGCAAGUCGAACGGUAACAGGUCUUCGGAUGCUGACGAGUGGCGAACGGGUGAGUAAUACAUCGGAACGUGCCCGAUCUUGGGGGAUAACGAAGCGAAAGCUUUGCUAAUACCGCAUACGAUCUACGGAUGAAAGCAGGGGACCGCAAGGCCUUGCGCGAACGGAGCGGCCGAUGGCAGAUUAGGUAGUUGGUGGGAUAAAAGCUUACCAAGCCGACGAUCUGUAGCUGGUCUGAGAGGACGACCAGCCACACUGGGACUGAGACACGGCCCAGACUCCUACGGGAGGCAGCAGUGGGGAAUUUUGGACAAUGGGCGAAAGCCUGAUCCAGUCAUGCCGCGUGCAGGAUGAAGGCCUUCGGGUUGUAAACUGCUUUUGUACGGAACGAAAAGACUCUGGUUAAUACCUGGGGUCCAUGACGGUACCGUAAGAAUAAGCACCGGCUAACUACGUG
rnacentral:rRNA from 1 species